CAGCAGCCGCGGUAAUACGUAGGGUGCAAGCGUUAAUCGGAAUUACUGGGCGUAAAGCGUGCGCAGGCGGUUAUAUAAGACAGAUGUGAAAUCCCCGGGCUCAACCUGUGAACUGCAUUUGUGACUGUAUAGCUAGAGUACGGCAGAGGGGGAUGGAAUUCCGCGUGUAGCAGUGAAAUGCGUAGAUAUGCGGAGGAACACCGAUGGCGAAGGCAAUCCCCUGGGCCUGUACUGACGCUCAUGCACGAAAGCGUGGGGAGCAAACAGGAUUAGAUACCCCGGUAGUCCCUGUCUCUUAUAU
rnacentral:rRNA from 1 species